AGCGCUGCGGACCGCGGGAAGCCGGUCUGGGAGGCGGGCCGCGCACAUGCACUGCCCCGUCCGACGCGGCGCUGUCGGGUGCGUUUCUGGGUGCCACUGAGCCGAAGCAGGCCCUGCGCCCGGGCGGGCGGACAGGCGGGCGCGGAGGAGCUCGCCGUGGCCGGGAGCCCUGGUGGCGCAGUGGUUAAGAGCUGGCUGCUAACCAGAAGGUCGGCGGCUCGAAGCCACCAGCUGCUCUUUGGAAACCCUAUGGGGCAUUUCUACUCAGUCCUAUAGGGUCGCUGUGAGUCUGAAUCUACUGUACUGCAAAGGGUUUGAUGUGGAUUAUUGGUUUUGGAACCGAGGGCGCAGGCUUUCAUCUCAGCCCGCUGGGCGUGCAUUUGCAGGCGCCUGAACACUGCUGGAAAAAGCCUGUCUGUCCAUGCAGCCCUGUGUUUAAUUCUGCGCGGUCCGAGACCCCCAGAAGGACGUGGAGGCAGUCGAUGUCCACGUGGGCCUGAAGGAACCUCUCUGCAGGAAAGGGAUCGACUUGUGCCACGGGAGGGGUGGAUUUGCCAAAGCUUGACGCUGAAUCUCCAAACCAUUUGUUUCCUUUUGGCGGAACCACUUUGCCCCGAUUUAUUUAACUCGGGUGCCUACUGUCUGCCAGGUGCUGGGGCUACGGAAAUAAAAGGUCAUUUUUCCAUCUGCAGGCAACUCAAUUUAGUGGGAAAGGACUGACUCCCUACAGAAGGCAUGUAUGACUUUUACCAUCAAAGAGUAAGCGCCUUAAAAAAAGAAAUACAGGAACCCAGCCCAAAGCCUCAUCCAGAUGUGUCCAGAUUGAAGCCCUGGAUCUCUCCCUGAUGCACAACCUUUCCAUCAAGACAGAUGUGCUUCCUCACUGUCUGAUGCCAUGUAGCUAAAAGAUAAAUUGUUCAUCCCAAUACUCCCAACAUAAACCAAUGGAAAAGGAACUGAAUAAGUGCAUUUAAAACUCUUAUUUGGGAAGGGGAAAGAGGGAAAUACCCAGGAAUCACUGGUCCAGAAAACAUAUCAAAUCUGCUGGACAGGGAUAGUGAUGGCUCCCUGCACUAGCAUGGUGUAAUUCUUGUGUUUAGUUUACCUGGAAACCCCUAGUUCUGCUCCUUGGGAGAUUCUACCUGCUCCGCUCAUGUACCAGGAAGUUCUCCCUGCUCUGCUGUCCUUCCUCCGUGGACCUAUUAGGAAGGAUACUCCUACCGUGAAUACACAACUUCCGCACUCAUCUUUCUGUUCAUGCCAUUUCGAGGUGUAAGGAUUGCCUUGAGGCAGUGGUAUUAGCUUCCUAUGGCUGCUGUACCAAAUUACUACAAACUGGGUGUCUUAAAACAACAGAAAUUUAUUCUCUCACAGUUCUGGACCUAGAAGUCCAAAUUCAAGAUGUCGGGAGGGCUGUGUUCCCUCUGGGAUUCUAGGGAAUGAUCAGUUCCAGGCCUCUCUCCUAGCUUUUGGUGGCUUCUAGCAAUCCUGGGCUUUCCUUGGCUUAGAGACAUGUGACUCCAAUCUCCACCUCCAUCUUCACAUGGCAUUCUCCCCUGUUUGCCUGUGUCUAAAUUUCACUCUUUAUAAAGACACCAGUCAUUAUAUUGGGGCCCCCCCAAUCCAGCAUGACCUCAUUUUAACUUGCUGACAUCUGCAAAGAUCGUAUUUCCAAAUAAGGGCAUAUUCACAGGUAUUAGGACGUGAGCAAAUCUUUUUUGGAGACACAGCUCAACACUGUACACAGUUGUUCUCAAACUUUGCUGCAUAUAAAAUUAAAAACAUGACACCUUCAGGCCCAUUAAAUCAGAAUCUAAGGGAUUCAGGAUCAGCAAUAUUUAAAACUUCCAGGGCGAUUCCAAUGUGAAGUCAAGGUUGAGAAUCACUACUUCAAAGGUUGGGUAGUCACAGACUGGUCCUGGCUGGGUUCAUGGUGGUUUUUUUUUUUUCCAUCAAAAUAUUACCUGGAGGACUGAGGCUCCUUCUGUCUUUUUUUCUGCUUGGCUUUUCUUAGCGUUGGCUUUUUUACUUUUCCUUGUCACUUCCUGGUUGUAAGAUGAUUGCCACAGCUCCAGUCAUCACAUCUGUUUCAAGGCAUGAAUCACCCAAUAGGGUGGCCCUUGCUGAAUCUUUUCCUUAUACAAAAAAAGCAAGCUUUCUAGAAAUUUCUCCACAUGGUUCUCCUUACCUCUUAUUGGCCAGAGCUGAGGCAUAUGCUCAGACUUAAACCAGUGAGGGACAAAAAGGAUUUUCUGUUUAAGAGAAAUCAGAAUUCACCCUUUAGGGAUAGGAUACGGGUGACUUUCCUUCAGAUCAAGGGGUCCUUGCCCUACCAUAUGAAGGAAUCUAAUUCUAUUAGCAAGGAAUAAGGGAGGGGGAGGGAGCUAAGGUGUUGCUGUUGAGUAGGCAAUAAAGACUGACUGCCAUACAGGGACACCCUGUGUGUGUGUGCGUGACUAUAUAAGCAUGCAGAAACUGUGGAAGGGUUUAUACGCAGUUGUGAACACGUGAAGGAGCCCUGGUGUCACAGUGGUUAAAGCAAUCAGCUGCCAACCAAAAGGUUGAUGGUUUGAACCCACCAGCGGCCCUGUGGGAGAAAGAUGUGGCAGUCUGCUUCUGUAUAGAUGACAGCCUUGGGAACCCUAUAGGGCAAGUCUACUCUAUCCUGUGGGGUCACUAGGAGUUGGAAUUGAUUCGAUGGCAACAGGUUUUUUUUUUCCUUUGGUGAUCAUGUGGUACAUUGCAGUGGGUGAAAGCAGGAAGGGAGGCAAGCAAAAAUGGGAGAAAAAAAGGUCCCCUGGUGGUGCAGGUGUUAAGCAUUUAGCUGCUAACCAAAAGGUCAGCAGUUCAAAUUCACCAGCCACUCCUUGGAAACCCUAUGGGGCAGUUCUACCCCGUCCUAUAGAGUCGCGAUGAGUUGGAAUCGACUCGACGGCAAUGGGUUUGGAUUUUGGUUUGGGGUAGAAAUAUGUAGAUCACAUUUAUGCAUUUAUGUAAAAUUUUGUAUGUAUGUGACUACAUCCAUAAAUAGAAGAUUAAAAAGCAACUCUGAACUCCACCCCAAAUAAAGCAUUUUUCUGGCAGCAUGAACUGUCAGCACCAUGACUGAGCACCUGCAUUCAAGCAAAAUUUAAGCCAUUCAAUAAGAGCAACAUGAGCCACAUGUGAGGAGCCACAUGGAUGGCCUGUUGUCCACGCAUUACGAUCACACGUCACCCAGCCGACAGCCACCGGCCCUCACUUCUCGUAGAAUUAUCUAACAAUUCCAACACCUUGAAUUUUUGGGUUUUUUUAGAUCCAAAGACAUUGAAAGUAGCAAAAUAAGGAGGGAGACUGUCAGAGAGCAUCAAACUGGGGGCCACAAGAGGUGACUGCUGGCGGCUGAGUGUGAGGGGUGAGACAAAAAAAUCCAUAGAAAACAGACACAAGAACCCACAAGGGCAAAGCUGUCAGGGUCAUUCAGUUUAAAGGAAACUGGUUCUAGGCAACUUUACAACCUGUGGUGGCAUCAGUCACAAUGGCUGGUGGAAACUCAGACCUGACUCAACAAGCAACGUUAGAGUUGGGCCACUUUCUGUACUCAAGAAAGCAGAGCAGAGCACUGUAGAAUGGAGAGCCAUGUCUCUGCCUCUUUCAGAAAUGUCCAGUUCGUUCUUGUGACUUCCAAGGCUCAGCACCUGGCCCUGAGCAGAAGUGCAGGUCUCAGUUUGCGACUGGACAUCCCUCCUGAGUGCCCACAGACACUGCAAGCUCAACACAUUUGAAACUCUUCCCGUCUCAUUUUUUAUCAAGAUGCCAAUUGGAUAUCGGUAACCAAAGUGAUUGUAAGGCAAACCCACGCAUAAAGAUUUUCAAAGGAAAUGUCCAAGAAAGCAUUCCGCAAGUCUUAGACCUUCUUCACAUUCAGAGCACAAAGAGCGAGGAUUUGGGGUGAGGAUAUGGGUGAAGAGACGUGUCUGGAGAAAGCGGUUGCCUGUGCCAGGCCUCUAUCUCUCCUCCGUUUUGAGGCUGAAGGGAGGGGUAGAGGAAUACUACCUCCUAUCCCUGGGUGGUAAAAACAGUUAAAAUGUUCACCUGCUAACAGAAAGGUUGGAGAUUCCAGUCCACCCAGAGGCGCCUUUAAAGAAAGGCCUGGCAAUCUAUUUCCAAAAACUCAGUUACUGAAAACCCUAUGAAGCACAGUUCUACUCUGACCCACGUGGGGUCACCAUGAGUCAGAGUUGACUCGAUGGCAAGUAGUUAACCCAGGGAUUAGCACACUAGGCCUGAAGGCCAAAUAAGGUCAACACCUGUUUUUGUAAAUAAAAUUUUAUUGGGGCGAAACCAUGCUCAUUUGUUUAUGUGUUGUCUGUGCUAUGGCUGCUUUCAAGAGACAACGGCAGAAUCAAGUAUUUGAAACAGUUCAUUUGGCCCCAAACCAAAAACCAACCAAACCCAUUGCCCUAGAGUCAAUUCUGACUCAUAGCGACCCUACAGGACAAAGUAGAACUGCCCCAUAGGGCUUCCAAGGAGUGGCUGGUGUGCUUGGACUGGCGACCUUUUGGUUAGCAGCCGAGCUCUUAACCACUGUGCCACAAAGGAUAAAAUAUUUACCAUCUGACCUUUUUCAGAAAAAGUUUGCUGACUUCUAUAUCAACCAAAAGAUCGGCAGUUCAAAUCCACUCAGAGGUGUCUCAGAAAUAAGGCCUGGCGGUCUGCUUCUGAGAGGUCACAGUCUUGAAUACCCGGUGGGGCAGUUCUGCUCCGCACAGAAGGGGCCGACAUGAGCUGGCGGUGACUUGACAACAACUGACAACAACAUUCUGACCCCAUGCCCCAUGAGGAAGACUUGGGGCUCGCGGGGAGAGUUUUGCAAUGUGUUCCCUGUAGAACUCGUGCCUAAACCACAGCGAAAGCAGCUAAGGCAGACCACGGGCUGGGGUCUGACUUCUCCUGGGAAAUCCAGAGCGUGAGAGACAGGCUGAAUGUCUGCUUUUGUGGCUGUGAUGUCAGGAUCUAGGGUGUUAGGGAAAGUGAUAACGAGGGCUUCCCGAGGGCCACUCAGGGUGGUCAUUAUCUCAGUUACCUAGUGCUGCUGUGAUAGAAGUACCACAAGUGGGUGGCUUUAACAAACAGGACUUUAUUUUUCAAAGUUUAGGAGGCUAGAUCCAUGGAAGCAGCAGUCAAGAAAUCAAAAGACGCGUUGCAUUGGGCAAAUCUGCCACAAAAGACCUCUUUAAAGUGUUGAAAAACAAAGCGGUCACCUUGAGGACUAAGGUGCUCCUGACCCAAGCCACGGUAUCUUCAAUCGCCUCGUAUGCAUGGGAAAGCUGGACAAUGAAUAAGGAAAACCAAAGAGGAACUGAUGCUUUUGAAUGAUGAUGUUGGCGAAGAAUAUUGAAUAUACCAUGGACUACCAGUUGAAUGAACAAAUCUGUCUCGGAAGAAGUACAGUCAGAAUGCUCCUUAUAAGCAAGGAUGGCAAGACUUCAUCUCACGUACUUUGGACACGUUAUCAGGAGGGACCAGUCCCUAAAGAAGGACAUCGUGCUUGGUAGAGUAGAGGGUUAGUGAAAAAGAGGAAGACUCUCAAUGAGAUGGAUUGACACAGUGGCUGCAACAAUGGGCUCAAGCAUAGCAACGAUUGUGAGGAUGGUGCAGGACUAGGCAGUGUUUCCUUUGUGCGUAGGGCCGCUAUGAGCUGUAACUGACUCAACAGCACCUAACAACAACAGCAACUAGGCCGUCUAGAGACCUCUGCAGAAAUAGGCUGGAGUUGAACACUGCAUGCUCAAGAAUGAGAGAAGAAACUGCCAGAGACCAUCUAGAAUAUGUGCAUCCUUUGUGGUUCAAGGAGUUGUGGGAGAAAAUGAUCCAGCAAAGAACUCUAAAGAGCCCACUAAAGCAUCUGGAGAGAGCCACCUCUCACCGUCUGCCAUCCCUGAGACUCAGCAUGAAGCCACCAGCCAAGCCACAGAUGACCUAGACCCUACAUCUCCUCAGCCUCUCACCCCUGCCUCACCCUGAUGGGACUGCACCAGCCGCUAGCAAGUUGGGGAGGAUGGGAGUAGAGAGAGCAGAGGGGUAAGAGGAUCACAGCCCUCUUGCCCACUGCAGGCUCCCAGGCACAAAGCCCAAAGCUGGGGAGUGCAGAAGUUUAAUGCUGUCACGUUUGGGGUUCUGACAUUCCUGACUACUGCACUGAGACUAUUUGUGACCUAAUGCGACUCACGACUGCCGAUUCCCCAGGAGUGAGUAGAAAAGCUGGGACCUGCUAGAGUUUUAUCCAGCAUCGUGAAAAGACUACCUGCAUGGAAGACACCUUCAAGGAGUGAUGGGAGACACACGGAGCUAAAGUUUUGCUUGUGGCAUGAUUCAUGCUUGUUCAAUAUACUGAAUAUCAUUAAUACAGUCUUGUACUGCAUAAAGAACACUCGGGCAACUUCUGACUGCAAAUAUGUCUGUGGUCUCAUAAGGUUAUAAUAGAGUUCAGAAAUCCCAAUUGAAGAACAGGACAUGGCCAACAUAAAUGGACGUAGUGAAAGCAGCAGCUUCCUGCACGCAACACGUGUAUCUCAUGUCUCUUGUAUACAAAAUAUUUGCGCUGCCAGGCUUAUAGUGAUACACUACAUACAUAACCUGUAAUACAUAUGCCUUGAUAGUCAUAAUAAGUGCCUAUGUUACUGGCUUAUGUAUAUACUCUACUGUGCUUUCCAUUGCUAUUUUAAUGUGAACUUUCCCUACUUACAAAUAAAAAGUUUACGGUAUAACAGCGUUUGCUUAGAUCCGUAGGCAGCGGUAUCUAAUCUUGUGUAUUGCGUGUCUCUUGAGUGUGUAGCGUUAUCUCUCUGUUUAAUUUCCUUUUGAAAAUAUUACCAUGAAAUGUAUCAUGGCUCCCAAAUGCUGCAAGACCAGUACUAGUGACAGCAGCAGCGGCAGCAAGAGGCAAAAGAGAAGUGUAGAUUUGGAAGCAAAACAAAAGGUUAUUAAACAACACGAAGGUAGGAAGUCAGCAAAUGCUGUUGCUCACGAUUCAGGCAUGUCGCACUCGACAAUAAUCUUCCAAAGAUCUAGGUAUUUCCGUUUCCCUAGCACACACGUGGAGCCCCGGUUAGAGCUCGGCUGUUAACCAAAAUGUUGGCAGUUCCCACCCACCAGCCAUUCCUUGGAAACCCAACAGGGCAGUUCUACUCUGUCUUAUAGGGUCGCUAGGAGUCGGGAUCAGCUCCAUGGCAACAGGUUUGGUUUUUGGGUUAGUAGACACUUACCCUGUGUCUUAGUUAUCUGGUGCUGCUGUAACAGGAAUACCACAAGUGGAUGCCUUCAACAAACAGCGAUUUAUUUUCUCACAGCCUGGUAGGCUAGAAGUCCAAAUUCAGGGUGCCAGGCAUCAGGGGAAGCCUUUCUCUUUCUGCCGGCUCUGGAGGAAGGUUCUUGUCAUCCAUCUUCCCAGAUCUAGGAGCUUCCUCAGUGCAGGGACCCUGGGUCCGAAGGACACGGUAUGCUCCAGGUGCUUCUUCUCAGUGGGUUGAGGUCUCCAUGUCUCUCUGCUGGCUUCUCUCUUAUAUAUCUCAAAAGAGAUUGGCUCAAGACACAAGCCAAUCUUGCAGAUUGAGCGCUACCUCAUUAACAUAACUGCUGCUAAUCCCACCUCAUUAACAUCAUAGAGGCAGAAUUUAUAACACAUAGGAAAAUCACAGCAGAUGGUAAAAUGGUGGACAAUCACACAAUAUUGGGAAUCACAGCCUAGCCAGAUUGAUAUACAUAUAUUUGGGGGACACAAUUCAAUCCACGACACCCUGGUUAAAUGUGGUAGCAGUUCUGGGGGACAAUCAGGGUGAAGACUUAUAACGUAUAUUUGUAACCUUAUUAUAAUGUUCUUCAUUAAAAGUACCUGACCUCUCCUUCAUUCAGUCGGUUCUACAAGUUGUGAACUGGUGUGAGUCUGGGAAUUGGGGAAUCUAUAUCCCAAUAAACGGAAACCCUGGUGGCGUAGUGGUUAAGUGCUACUGCUGCUAACCAAAGGGUCAGCAGUUUGAAUCCGCCAGGCGCUUCUUGGAAACUCUAUGGGGCAGUUCUACUCUGUCCUAUAGGGUCGCUAUGAGUCAGAAUCGACUCGACGGUACUGGGUUUGGGUUUUUUGGUAUCCCAAUAAACAGUGGCUCAGUUUAUACCUUGUUUAGAAGAGCUUUCCGUUGUUUUGCUCCUAGAAAUUCCACGAUCAAAUUGUUGUUGUUUUUAGGUGCCGUCAAGUUGGUUCCAACUUAUAGCGACCCUAUAGGGUUUCCGAGGAGCGGCUGAUGGAUUUGAACUUCCAGCCUUUUGGUUAGCAGCUAAACGCUUAACCCCUGCUUCCUUGGGUCACUUGCUCCUGAUUCAAUAUUUGGGGGUGGUGAGGUCCAGUUCACCAAGCCUAAGUCACUUGCCCAUACCCUAGCUGCAGAAGAGUCUGGAGGAUCAUAAACCUGGCGUUUUCAUUUUCAACAGUGGGAAGUAGAGUCUGCCUUCCACCAGGAUUUAUAAUCUGGUGAAACAAACCCAGAUUUUAUCCCAGACAUAGGAAGGGGGCUCACAGGCUGCUGACAAAUUCUUUUCCCUGAUCCAUUUUACCCUUCCUCUGUUGUUUAGCAACUGUGAGGUUUAGAGGAUUAAGUCCAGCUCAAAGGUGGCCUAUGCUUUAUCCAAGGCAAGUGUAAUACUCUCACUUGCUAGUGAUUUCUUCAGAAAGUUGAACCUAAGACAAUUAGCACAUGGCAUUCCUCCGAUCCCAGGGACUGGUUCACAUUUUAGCCUAAUGACAUGAAAGAUGAAGGGGUAUUCUGGAAAAAAGUCGUCAUGUUUCAGAAAGCUAGAGAAAGAAAGACUAUAGUAUCUUCUGUAGGUGAUGUCUGCAACCAUCUUGAUAGCAGUCUGAGGACGGAGCUGCUACAGGAAGGUGGGCAGAGAGCCAAGAGAAACCCAGAGAAACUGAACUGGAGCUGCUGGAUUAAGCCAGCCCUGAAGUCUGCUUUGUCUUGUCACUUGCCCUUGUGAGAGCCAAUACAUUUUCUUAUUUAAGCCAGUUUGAGUUUUCUGCUAUUGGCAAUUGAAAGUAUCCUAAUUUAUUCAGUAUAAAAUCUUUUGUGUUUAUAACUCUUAAUGACAUCUUCCAGAAUUGGUAUUCCAUUUAUAAUAAUCAUUUCUGUUCUGGCAGAUAAGAGUGGCUAGAAACUGGACUAAGAUGACAAUAUAGCCAAUAUGAAUAUCGACAUGAAAGAAAAUGAGUAUUGACUGACUUAAAAAAUGAUCAAUCAGUACAAUUUUUAUGAUCAAGGAGAUAAGAUUUACUUACCAAAAAUUUCUAGUAUAUUGGCAGCUCAAUUCCAAGUAGCAUUUUAAGUAUUUGAAAACACACUUAUACAAGAUUUAUUAAAACAAUAACUCCACUUACUCCCCAACACCUUUUUCUUCCCCUUGAGCUACUUUAUUACCCAUUGCUGUCAAGUCAA